rnacentral:rRNA from 1 species
CCCUUAGAUGUUCUGGGCCGCACGCGCGCUACACUGACGAAUGCAACGAGCUUAUAACCUUGGCCGAAAGGUCUGGGUAAUCUCCAAAUUUCGUCGUGAUGGGGAUAGAUUAUUGCAAUUAUUAAUCUUCAACGAGGAAUGCCUAGUAAGCGCAAGUCAUCAGCUUGCGUUGAUUACGCCCCUGCCCUUUGUACACACCGCCCGUCGCUCCUACCGAUUGAAUGGUCCGGUGAAGCGUUCGGACCGUGGCCUUUGGACGGUUCGCCGUCUGUUGGCUGCGGGAAGUUCGUUAAACCUUAUCAUUUAGAGGAAGGAGAANUCGUAACA